AUGUAUUAGGACCACAGGUCUCAUCAAAAUACCUUUUUAUGUAUUCCAAAGAAGAAAGAGGUCGUACAGGAUUGGAAACACAUGAGAAUUAGUAUAUGAUGACAGAAUUUUCAUUUUUCUUUUUAGUAUUAAACAGUGAGAGCCUUUGCCUGUUGUUCAUGAUCAGUGUUCCAGAAAUUCCCUUAGUGCUGUCGUUUAUGUUGAGCUUUUUAAUGGUCCUGUCCGAUUCUCUGCUUUAAGCCUGUAUCUAGACAGAAGCCUUGAAUGUGUUUGAGUACAGAUAAGCUGCACAACAGGCUGAGGAGUGAAGGCAUCUUCUCUUUCAUGAAAUAAACAGGUGAGAAUCUCGACACCAGGGCCUCAGUGCCUUCGCUUGCAGAGCUCAGCUCCUCUGAAUUCCCGCUGAGAUCCAAGACCUUCAGAGCGGGAUGUGUGGUCAACAGUUAUAGGUCAGGAGACUCAGAUUGUCCUUGUGUGGUGAAAACAAAGGAUUUAGUGCUUGUAACCUUUCACAGCUUCAGGUAGAAACCUGAGUCUACCUUGUAUGGCAGAUUGUUAGAUGUACACUAAAAGUCUCCUUGCAAGUCUUAUUGUGGGAUCUGAAGAUGAAAACCAUUCUCAAGCAUAAUGGGGUUAUGUAGAUUAGCUCAUUUUGUAAUAAUUAUGGAAGUUAGUUGUUCCAACUGGUAACGUUUAGAACUCAUCUGAAGGCUGUUUGAUAAUCAAACACGGUGAUAAUUUGUUGGAGAUUAAGGGAAGGAGGAGGCACACCAAAAACACCCCAUCAUUACAGCACAUCUGGUCUCCGUUCUCUUCAAAAACCAUGUCACAGCUGACUCAGGCCCUCAAAUCUGGAAGAAAGUGCAGGGGAAUUUCCACUAAUGAAUCCAACAACCACACGAUGAGGCCUCUUUGUGCAGGGACUUCAAUGGAAGCCACAUUCAGAGCAGGCACAGCGAGUCACAAUCAAAGGCACCGCCAAUCCGUUACCACGGGAGCAAAUCUGCAGCUUGUAACUGAACAGACAUCUGUUUCCAUGACAGCUGUCUGGAACGGCAUCAGCCUAACUAACUGCUGCCUCAGAACUAGUCUGACUGUUUGAUAUCUCUUGUGAUAAAGACAGAGACGAUUCUGUCAGAAACCCUCGUCACUUGUUGUUGUGAUGCGCUAAUGCGAAAAGAGAAGUUUGCAUUUGUGUUUAUUUUGUUGGUCUUUGAAGCUGCCGCAAUCAGAGGCUGCAAAAUAUUGGAAGGGAGAAGAAACGUACCCGAGAGAAGUAAACAUACGGAGCGAACUACCCCGGUGUGUUCGACGGAAGCCGCUUCAGAGCGACAAAAGGGAAGUACAAGUUAAACAACAACAUUUCUGACAUAAUGUUUAUUACAGCAAAAUUCAUUUCCACCCUCCCCUCCUUUUCUUAAACAAUCAAACAUCUGUUUUCACAGUGAGAAACUUACAGUGAAGUGAAUGGGGCCAUGUUGAGUCAGUGUAAUUUUUCAUUACAAUGUCAUAAGUGAAUAAUCUUAAAGUAAAAUGGCAGAUUUCUUUCUUGUGACCAGGGGCGUCGGACUGGGGGUAAAACCAGUACUGCUUGUGACACUAGACUUUACCAACUAUUUUGCCUAAUAUGUAAAAUUAAGUCCCGUCCCAUUUUUUUUUUUUCUUUUCAAUAAUCUAUUUCACUUGGCUAUACAUCACAAUAUGUUUUAAAUGAUCUGUCGCUACUUCCGUUACAAAAUAAAUAAAAAAAUUGGUUCCAUUUGCUUCCAUUUCAACUGCCACAAAUGCUAUACUAAUAAAACUUAACUUCACUAAACUUAAAAUAUUCCUUUUAUUAUGCCAAUAUCUCUGUAGUUCUACAUUGUUUAGACGCCUGCCUGGUGGUCUGCUGUUUGAAAGGGCAAGGCCUGCCCGCAGAGAGGGGCUUGACAAGCAGAGCGCAGUGUUAUCCAACGCGAGCUCUUCUUUGCUGCAGGCGGCUCCGUCCCAAACCUCAGCCCUAUCUUGAGUGAACAUCACACAGCCGAGAUGAAAAAGCGGGAAAUCGAUGCAGGGGAGCGCGCGCCAUGUAGAGAGCCUGGCUUUGCUUUGAUCGAAGGCUGACUGACAAGACCUUCAGCCCUGUGAUCUCCGGCAUGAUGAAGGACCGGAGCCGUGGUGGCGCAACAACACAAGUACAGAGGGGGUGUGAGACAGAGGGCUCUGUCUGCAUCUAAAGCCUGCUGGGAAAGGCUGUACUCUCAUCUCCCACACAGCAGAAUGCAUAUGCACCAAAAUCCUCUUCACUUUAAAACAACCUUCCCCUUCAGCCUCCUCUGGUACUCCCGACGGGUCAUCACAUGAAGCGUGUCCUCUGGUCUACCUUUGCUGGGGAUGGUGACCUUCACAGAGGCUUGAGAGAUGCCUCGGACCAGAGCAUUGUGGGUACUCUAAGACUGAGUGACAUACACAGCAUGGAAGCACUGGCGAGGAGCUUUGCUGAACCUUGUGAUCCAUGUCACUGCCUCAAUGGGACACACACACCCGAUAUAAAUCCACUGACAUUACAGCGGAUUGAUGUUUAUAUACAAGAGUUUUCAGCUGAAAAGCUGCAUUACCACUGAAAGAGUGACCAUAAUGCAUUGUGGUUCAGAAGAUUCAUGUCUCUCUCUUCUGUGAUUUUUUACCUUCUGCCAAGCUUAAAGAAUGAAAUGAGAGAUUGUAGAUUACUGUAGAUGUCAGAUUUUGCUCCAGCACGCUAAAUUAACAGCUAAAGUAAACACUGUAAAGCUGAAUUGUGUAAUUUCUGUGCCAUUACUGGCAACAAAUAGAAUGGAAAAAGAUUACUCAUAAACACAUGUAUUUUUAAUUAUAUAAUGAUAUGUUUUUAUAAUUUUUUUAUUACACUACUGCUCUACAAUGGUGGGGUCAGUAAAAUUUUUUUGUGUCUCAUGCUCACCAAGGCUGCAUUUAUUUGAUCAAAAAUACAGUAAAAAUAGUAAUAUUGUGAUAUAAUAAAUAUAUGAUUACAAUUUAAAAUAACUCAAUUCUGUUUUCAUACAUUUUGAAAGGUCAUUUAUUCCUGUAAUGGCAAAGCUGAAUUUUCAGCAGUCAUUGUUUCAGUUUCCAGUGUCACAUGAUCCUUCAGAAAUUAUUCUUAUAUGCGAAUUUGGUGCUCAAAAAAAUUCUUAUGAUUAUCAAUUUUAAAAUGGUUAUGCUACUUGAUAUUUUUGUGGAAACUGUGAUAGCAUUUUUUUUUUCAGGAAUGAUGCA
ensembl:lncRNA